GAUCAUGGCUCAGGAUGAACGCUGGCGGCGUGCUUAACACAUGCAAGUCGAACGAAACACCUUAUUUGAUUUUCUUCGGAACUGAAGAUUUGGUGAUUGAGUGGCGGACGGGGUGAGUAACGCGUGGGUGACCUACCCUGUACAGGGGGAUAACAGUCAGAAAUGACUGCUAAUACCGCAUAAGACCACAGCACCGCAUGGUGCAGGGGUAAAACUCCGGUAGGUACAGGAUGGACCCGCGU
rnacentral:rRNA from 1 species